UAUGGCCCAAAGAACAUAAUAGGGUGACAAAAAGGGAACAGAUCUUGGAUGUGUCCUCCUAACUACUGGGGAGUGCCCAGCAAGUAUAGAACCAGCUCAGUCAUCUUCCAGUUAGAGAAGUUGAAUAUAAAAAAGAUCAAGACUCGUC